rnacentral:rRNA from 1 species
UGCCUCAGUAACGGCGAGUGAAGCGGCAACAGCUCAAAUUUGAAAUCUGGCCCUAGGCCCGAGUUGUAAUUUGCAGAGGAUGCUUUUGGUGCGGUGCCUUCCAAGUUCCCUAGAACGGGACGCCAGAGAGGGUGAGAGCCCCGUACAGUUGGACACCAAGCCUUUGUAAAGCUCCUUCGACGAGUCGAGUAGUUUGGGAAUGCUGCUCAAAAUGGGAGGUAUAUUUCUUCUAAAGCUAAAUACCGGCCAGAGACCGAUAGCGCACAAGUAGAGUGAUCGAAAGAUGAAAAGCACUUUGAAAAGAGGGUUAAACAGCACGUGAAAUUGUUAAAAGGGAAGCGCUUGUGACCAGACUUGCGUCCGGUGAAUCACCCAGCUCUCGCGGCUGGGGCACUUCGCCGGCUCAGGCCAGCAUCAGCUCGCUGUCGGGGACAAAAGCUUCAGGAACGUAGCUCUCUUCGGGGAGUGUUAUAGCCUGUUGCAUAAUACCCUUCGGCGGGCUGAGGUACGCGCUCCGCAAGGAUGCUGGCAUAAUGGUCAUCAGCGACCCGUCUUGAAACACGGACCAAGGAGUCAACCUUAUGUGCGAGUGUUCGGGUGUCAAACCCCUACGCGUAAUGAAAGUGAACGCAGGUGAGAGCUUCGGCGCAUCAUCGACCGAUCCUGAUGUUCUCGGAUGGAUUUGAGUA